rnacentral:rRNA from 1 species
GACGGGGGAUGCAAGCGUUAUCCGGAAUCACUGGGCGUAAAGCGUCUGUAGGUGGUGAUGCAAGUCACUGGUGCAAAACUCUGGCUCAACCGGAGGAAAGCCAGUGAAACUGCAUGACUAGAGUGUGGGAGAGGUAGAAGGAAUUCACUGAGUAGUGGUGAAAUGCGUAGAUACAGGGAAGAACACCGGAGGCGAAAGCGUUCUACUGGAACACAACUGACACUGAGAGACGAAAGCCAGGGGAGCGAAUGGG